GUCAUUCAUUUGGUAAGCAUUUCCUGAGUCUUACCGCACGUGCUAAGUGCUAAAGAUACAGCCGUGAACGAGGACACAGCCUCAGCGCUAAGGAUGGGAUAAACGAGCGAUGGGGGCGAUGAUCACGGCCCCCAUAUUCAGCUUGUAGUAAAAGCGCCCCGCCCUUGCCAUGCUCCUUCGUUGAUGAUCUCACCGUAUCUUCGCAACAAGCCUGCGAGGCAGGACCGUAUGAGCUCCUCUUCUGGAUAAACCCACCGAGGCACGGAGGUGUUCAGGAAAGUUACAAAGAUACUCCUUUAGAACUGAUGGAGCCAGGAUUUGGCUCAGCCACUCUGGUCAGAGGAGGAAGACAGACGAUAAACAACUUGCCUCUAAAAAUAAAUACAUUAUUACAAGCUGUGAUGACUUCUCCAAAAGACACGGAGAACUAUUUCGAGAGAAUGUAAAACAGUUCCCAAGAUCUGUGGUGUUUAUGCUUUCCUGUCUGGAAUCAGUGCUUGCCUCUCAGGCUUCCCAGAAGACACUGUGUGCCACCCUUGGGAGCUCAGUGGUCAAGGACACCCCGACACCAUCUCCGUCCGGGAAAUUCUGUUUUGCCGCUCCCAGUCUGAUUCUGCACUUCCUCUCUGAAUUUUGCUGUUGUAAGUAUAUAGCUCAACCAAUGGGAUGAGUUCCAGGGAGGGAGAUUUCAGUACAGAGAGCAAGACAUUCUAAAAGAGCCAUCCGAGCCACGGAAUGAAAUGAUGCAAAAGAUAGUGAGUCCCCCAUGGCCAGAGGUGUGUAAGGAGAAGCCAAGUGACCACUCCUGACGAGAUGGAAAAGGAGACAGUGCUUUACACAGGGGCCGUGGAAAGGCCUCGGGGAGCUCUCUUUGUCCCUUUGGCCUCCCUGGAAGUCUCAGGGCCCUAUGAGGAAAUAUGAGACUGACCGGCUGUCACCCCCACCACGUACCUUCUGAAAAGUGCCUGUUCAUCCCUCCCUGCAGGCUCGCUUUUCUGCCCUAGGCCAGAGGUUGCCCACGGGCAUUUUUUUGGUUUGACCAGGAAGCUACUGCUACUUUUAUUUUGUGAUCCCUCCGCGUCCAAACUAAAUCAGGCACUUCAUGUGAGAAAUGCGGAUUUUCAGUUUCUCUGUUAAACUCGGAUCCGGGAGCCUGGGCUCGCCUCCCAGCAGGGCGCCGUCUGCCUCCCCUGCUGACCUCCACUCCGGUUACCCACUCUCACCUUGUCUUAGACUGGCUUUCCCCCAAAGCAGAUCAUGACACCAGGAUCGGAGAGCAGGUAGUUUACUUAGGAGGUGAGCCUAGGACACAGGUGCCCUGGGUGGGGACACGGGCCAAUCAAGUUCCUAUUGUGGGCAGCUAGCAUUUAAUCUGGCAGGGGCUCGCUGUAAGAGCCAGCGCAGAACGUGCCUCAGUUUACCUCCUGAGCAGAGAGGGAAUGGAGUAUUUGUCCAGUCCUGGGUGCAGUCUGUUUGAGCAGCGAGAGAUCCGGUGGCCAGAGAAAGUCCCGAGGCAGAGAGAGGCUGAUCCUAGCAGGGGAGAGGGCAGAGCGCACUAAAAAGGUAAGUCCCACUCUUGGGGUUGCGAGGAGCUUCUGCUAUGCCUCUGUGACAUGUCUGGCUUUGCCACCUCUGCUCUAAGCCAUUUUGUCCAGCCCUGACACAAAAGGAAAUGGCCUGUCAUCCCCCUCCUAGUCUGACUCAAUGACUUCUCAAUGCUGGGUUGGCACGAUAAUGUGGGCUUGGGGGGCCAUGGAUCCAGGUAACUGCUUACCGUCCCGUGAUAGGAAAGCCACCUACCUUUCCCAGAUCCCACAUGGGGAUGACCUUCUGGAAGGCACCAAUGACUGUACUGGGUCCCCCCUUUUUUUUCUCCCCAUCCAGCCAGUCUUGCUUUUUCCUUCCAGAACAUUCAGCUUCUUCAAGUCCUCUGCUCUUUUGUCCACUCUAAGAUCAACCAGCUAACUGGUUUCAGUGGUGAGGUGCAGGGGAGUUAGCUGGGAGGGGGUGUUGACAAUACUUUUUCUAAGUCAAAUCUCCUGAUCUGGGUCAUAAAAAAAUGAUGCUUUUUAAGUACUUCCAUCUUUGCUGGCAUCCCUUUGCAGACCAGAGGAAGAGCAGCAGACACCAGGCAAUGGGCCUCGAUUGCCUCUGUGGCCCCACUUCCUGGAAUAAAAGGGCUGGCAAUACAUACAGACUGAAAGGGGCAAGUUCUCUGCCAGACUGUCCCUGGAGGGGAGUUAUUCUUCACCAUAAACCUGUUGUGUUCCGAGAAUCUGUCUUGUAAACUCUGUGCGGAUGGCUAUUGUUUUCAGAUUAGAGAGCCUGUUGAUAAUCUCUCUUCCAAAAAAUCUGUAGUUUGGGGCUUUUAAAUGUUGAGAACCAUAUCCCAAGCCCCUUGGGGAUUCAUUUUGCCAGAGGUGCCAGCCAAGACUUUUUUCCCCCUGGUCUUUGCACAGAACUGAGCAGAAUGUUCCCCCUGGGUACAGAACUGACAGGCAACCUUUUUGGGGUCAAGUAAACUUUUCCUGACCCUUUCUCAUCUUGUUCCUCUUCCUCAGAUGCUGUAGACUGAGAGUGGGUGACCCCAGCCCGUCAUAUGUGGCCAAGAGCUCCUGCCUUCUGGGAUGUAGUUACACUGAGCUGCUAUGUGUGGUGGGAACUGGGCAAAGACAGGAAGCCAAAUGCAUGGGCCUUGAGCCAUAUUGUUUAGAGCACACGGCUCCUGUGUCCCAGCUGAAGGGUCCUUGGGCAAACCACCGAGCUUCACUCUGUCCCUGUUUCCUCAUCUAUGAAAUGGAAAUUAUGUUGGCAUCUACUUCCUGGAGCUCUUAUAAAGGUAGGAUUUACAGGAAGAGCUCCUUGCCUGGCACAUUAGUAAGAGCCGAUAGAUGAGCUGUUUCUGUCUUUUGUCACCAUCAUCACCAUUACCAUCAUCACCGUCAUUGUCACCAUCGCCGUCAUCACCAUCACCAUCAACAUCAUCUGGUCAUUGUCAUCUGGGCUUCCAGAAACACUAACGUGGAGCAGCAGACCUUCCUAAGAACUGAGUCUCAUGUGUUGAGAAGCAAAGACCAGGAAACUGAGGCCCAAGUAGAGCUGUGAAGGGGAAGAAUCAAGACUGGACUACUGGAAUGCUGCAUUCCAGCCUCCUCAUCGGGGUUCUCUCUGUCCCUCUUCAGCGAGGAGGCAUCACCCCACUACAGGGUCAGGAUCUGACUAGAGAAUCGUGCCCUUUCAAAGCUACAAAGGACUUCAUCUAGCCCACUCCCGAUUCAGAAAUGCUAAUAAUGGGGGCACCCGG